CACAAGCGGUGGAUGAUGUGGAUUAAUUCGAUGCAACGCGAAAACCUUACCUACCCUUGACAUGUCCGGAAUCCCGAAGAGAUUUGGGAGUGCUCGCAAGAGAACCGGAACACAGGUGCUGCAUGGCUGUCGUCAGCUCGUGUCGUGAGAUGUUGGGUUAAGUCCCGCAACGAGCGCAACCCUUGUCAUUAGUUGCCAUCAUUUGGUUGGGCACUCUAAUGAGACUGCCGGUGACAAACCGGAGGAAGGUGGGGAUGACGUCAAGUCCUCAUGGCCCUUAUGGGUAGGGCUUCACACGUCAUACAAUGGUCGGUACAGAGGGUUGCCAACCCGCGAGGGGGAGCUAAUCUCUUAAAGCCAAUCUCAGUUCGGAUUGUAGGCUGCAACUCGCCUACAUGAAGUCGGAAUCGCUAGUAAUCGCGGAUCAGCACGCCGCAGUGAAUACGUUCCCGGGCCUU
rnacentral:rRNA from 1 species